rnacentral:rRNA from 1 species
AACGAACGCUGGCGGCGUGUCUUAAGCAUGCAAGUCGAGCGGCAAGCGCAGCAAUGCGCCUAGAGCGGCGGACUGGUGAGUAACGCGUGGAUGAUCUGCCCUUGGGAUGGGGAUAGCCAUUAGAAAUAGUGGGUAAUACCGAAUACGCUCGCAUGAUUGCGGUCAUGCGAGGAAAGGCGCUACGGCGCGGCCCGAGGAUGAGUCUGCGUCCCAUUAGCUAGUUGGUGAGGUAAUGGCCCACCAAGGCGAUGAUGGGUAGCCGGCCUGAGAGGGUGUACGGCCACACUGGGACUGAGAUACGGCCCAGACUCCUACGGGAGGCAG